GAUGAACGCUAGCGGGAGGCUUAACACAUGCAAGCCGAGGGGUAUAGUUCUUUCGGGAACUAGAGACCGGCGCACGGGUGCGUAACGCGCAUGCAACUUUCCCUACUGAAAAGGAUAGCCCUUCGAAAGGAGGAUUAAUUCUUUAUAACAGAUUUAAUGUCAUCAUUAGAUGUGGAAAGAUUUAUCGCAGUAGGAUAGGCAGGCGUAAGAUUAGUUAGUUGGUGAGGUAACGGCUCACCAAGACGAUGAUCUUUAGGGGGCCUGAGAGGGUGAACCCCCACACUGGUACUGAGACCCGGACCACACUCCUACGGGAGGCAGCAGUGAGGUAUACUGGACAGUGGAUGGUAGCCUGAUCCAGCCAUCCCGCGUGUAGGAUGACGGCCUUAUGGGUUGUAAACUACUUUUAUCUGGGGACAAUCCUACUUACGUGUGAGUAGCUGACGGUACCAGAAGAAUAAGCACCGGCUAACUACGUG
rnacentral:rRNA from 1 species